rnacentral:lncRNA from 1 species
GACCAGGGGACAUGGCCGGAGGUCUGAGUGCUUACCAGGUUGCAGCCGGCCACCCUCCAGGUGAAGGGCACCGCAGGACUGAGCCCAAGCUGUUCCCUCUGCCCGGAACAUUCUCCCCGUCAAGAGGCCGCGCGGUGCUGUGGGGAGGAGAGCCAGGCCGGGGCUCAGACUCUGCGGCCUGCACUGGCGUGGCUGCUCUGUGCAGAGGGGCUGAGCCAGGGGCUGGGCAAGUCCUGUCCCCCCACCUGGGGAGGACGUGGAGGGCCGGCAGACGUGCUCGGCGGGGACAGAUCUGGCACCCAGGAGCUGCUCUCCAGGGAUCAUGCUUGUUCUUAGGUCUCCUCUGUCCCCUCCUGUCGGAUGCUCUCCCUGGACAUGGCGGGCUGCCUUGGUGGCCCUCUGUCCCGGGUACAUUCUCUUCCCAGCAGGGGCCACUCUGUGCAGUGAUCGUGCUGUGGACACCCCUCCCCCAGAGAGCAGGUUCCCAGGGAGGCACGCACCUGCUGCUCCUUGGGAUCCGAUCCCCAGGGCCUGAGCACCCCAGGUGGCCCCUCCAGAGACAAGAAUGGAGAAUGUGCCUGGCCCCGGGAGCCGGCCUUGCCUAGCGCUGUGGUGUAAGGCAGCCCUUCCUCCUCUCUGACCCUCAGCUUCCUCUCCUGGAAACAGGUGGGAAGUGCAGCUCGGGGUGGUUCAGCCGUCACUCAGGGGUCAGCCGGGCAUCAGGAGGAAGCAGCUCUGGGCGGGUCUGAGGAUCCGCAUUUCCAAUGAGCUCCUGGUGGUGCCAAUCCUGCCCUCCGAGUAGCGGAGCUCGAUUAUGUGAAGGUGUCUGCAGUCUGGUGCUCCGGGACACGCAGCAAAAGGUGACUCUUCUAAUGAUCUUAUUACAGGACAGAAAAAGCAACGUUCUGAUCACAGAAGUCGCCGUCCCCGCCCCGAGUCCCUGGGCCCCAUUUCAAAGCCCCUUCUCUGAGGCUCACUUUUGUCGUCUCCUGCCAGUGGUGGCACUCGGGGCAAGUGAGACCUGUGAGGCC